UACGUAGGGGGCGAGCGUUGUCCGGAUUCAUUGGGCGUAAAGCGCACGUAGGCGGAUCCUUAAGUCAGGGGUGAAAUCCCGAGGCUCAACCUCGGAACUGCCUUUGAUACUGGGGAUCUUGAGUCCGGGAGAGGUGAGUGGAAUUGCGAGUGUAGAGGUGAAAUUCGUAGAUAUUCGCAAGAACACCAGUGGCGAAGGCGGCUCACUGGCCCGGUACUGACGCUGAGGUGCGAAAGCGUGGGGAGCAAACAGG
rnacentral:rRNA from 1 species